rnacentral:rRNA from 1 species
CUGAGGUAGGCGACCGGCGGCACGGGUGAGUAACACGUAUGCAACCUGCCUGUAAGCGGGGAAGUAACCCGUUGAAAGACGGACUAAUACCGCAUAAUACUAAAUUACUGCAUGGUAAUUUAUUUAAACAUUUAUGGCUUACAGAUGGGCAUGCGCAUGAUUAGCUAGUUGGAGAGGUAACGGCUCCCCAAGGCAACGAUCAUUAGGGGUUCUGAGAGGAAGGUCCCCCACACUGGUACUGAGACACGGACCAGACUCCUACGGGAGGCAGCAGUGAGGAAUAUUGGUCAAUGGACGAGAGUCUGAACCAGCCAAGUCGCGUGCAGGAAGAAUGUCUUAUUGGAUUGUAAACUGCUUUUGCAGGGGAAUAAAGUGCAUCACGUGUGAUGUUUUGUAUGUACUCUGCGAAUAAGGAUCGGCUAACUCCGUGCCAGCAGCAGC